AUAUAAUUGUGAAAAAGUUGAACUCUUUACACUAUAUUUUGCUUGAAUUUCUUCACCUUAAAAUAACGUCUGCAUAUUUUAGAACAUUUACGAUAAUCUUUGACGAAACAAUAUACGCAUUACGCACUUUGUUUCCAUCAUAAAAGUAAAGAAAUCGUUGUAUUGCAAUAAUUAUUUUAUGUGCCCAUUGUGAUGUGCAAAUUCUCGUAUUCUAUAAUAUAGUUAUAGGUUUACGAAGAAGAUUACCGAAUAAAGACUAAAAUAUCAACUCCAGGAUAGCUAUGGAAGGAUUUUAAUAAGUUGAAAAAUGGACGAAAUGACGGGGGGCAUUCGUACGUUUCUAUUGAUGUAGAAGACGUUGGAAAGAAGUGAAGAUGCCGGCGAUACUGUCGAAGAUACGCGAGCAGGCGUCACGGGUCCAGCCGACCCUGGCCGUGAGCGUCGGCGUGGGCGUCGCGCUCGCCGCCUGCGCGGUCUACGGGACCCGGGAGAAGAAGCACGCGCCGCCGUGCAACAACAACAAUAACUACCAGGUGUCCAAGAAUGGUCAGCUGAAGCCGCUAGUGGAGGGCGAGGAGGCCCGCAAGUGCGGUGGCUGCGGCGAGAAGCAGUGCGCGCUCUGUCGCGGAGAUGUUGAUACAGACAACAAACAGAAUAUUGAGGAUGCGGACGACACACAGUCCGAGGGUCAGAAGGAGUCGAUCCCGGGGCUGAACCUGGAGUUUCUCCGUCAGCUGGUGUACCUGGCCCGUAUCAUGGUGCCCGGCGUCCGCAGCCGCGAGGUGGCGCUGCUGGCCGCGCACACCGCCUGCCUCUUCACGCGGACAUUCCUGUCCAUAUACGUCGCCUCGCUCGAGGGAUCCAUAGUGAAGCACAUAGUCCAGAAGGACUUACGGUCGUUCACGUCGAUGCUGAUGCAGUGGUUCGGUAUCGCCAUACCGGCCACAUUCAUCAACUCCAUGAUACGGUACCUGGAGAGCAAACUGGCGCUGGCCUUCCGCACGAGAUUGGUGAAUCACGCCUACGAGCUGUACUUCAAGAACCAGACUUACUAUCGAGUGGCGAAUCUGGAUGGCAGGAUAGAGAAUGCUGAUCAUAGGCUAACAGAGGACGUGUCAGUAUUCACGCAGUCCGUGGCCCACCUGUACAGCUCGCUGACCAAGCCGUGCUUCGACCUGCUGCUCAUCGUGCUCACCCUGGCCAGCUACUCCAGCAAGAUGAAGGGCAACAUACUGCUCGGCCCCGGCAUGGCGACGGUCGUGAUCUGCCUGACGGGUCAGGUGUUACGACUGCUGAGCCCCAAGUUCGGCGCGCUGGCGGGCGAGGAGGCGCGCAUGAAGGCCAACCUGCGCCACGUACACUCGCGACUGAUAGCGCACGCCGAGGAGGUCGCAUUCUACGGCGGACACAGGGUGGAACUCGGCCAACUGCAGUCGGCGUACAAGGAUCUGGUGACGCAGAUGACGUCUGUGUUCAACAAGAAGCUGUGGUACGUGAUGCUGGAGCAGUUCUGCAUGAAGUACGUGUGGUCCGGUACCGGCAUGGUCAUGCUCGCCCUUCCCAUACUCACUGCGAAUAAGGAUAGUAAAACGGGUCAGAGCAUCAGCGAGCGCACGGAGUACAUGACGACGUCGCGCCACCUCCUCAACUCCGCCGCCGACGCCAUAGAGAGGCUCAUGUCUAGUUAUAAGGAAAUAAUGACGCUGGCGGGGUACGCGACGCGCGUGUCGGACAUGCUGGUGGUGUUCGGGGAGGUGGCGCGCGGGCGGUGCGUGCGCGACGUGCACGUCAGCGCCGCCUCCACCGGCUUCGUCGUCAAGUUCCGCGACGGCCAACCCGUGCCGCAGGGUAUAAUAACGUAUACGGACGACCUGUCGAUCCGCCUCCGCAACGUGCCGAUAGUGACGCCGGCGUGCGACGUCGUGGCGAGCGGCGUGACGCUCGACCUCACGCCCGGCACGCACCUGCUCAUCGUAGGGCCGAAUGGGUGCGGCAAAUCCAGCCUGUUCCGCAUAGUGUCUGGUCUGUGGCCGGUGUUCGGCGGCGAACUGCGCGUGCCGCGGCCGUGCGCGUGCGCGCACUGCGCCGGCGAGCCGCACGCCCCGCCCUCCUGCCUCGCGAGACCGCUCAUGUUCUAUAUACCACAGAGACCUUACAUGUCGAUGGGCUCGCUCAUCGACCAGAUCUCGUAUCCAUCUCGUGUGGCUCCGGGCGACACGGCGGGCGAGGCACGCGCGGCGCACAUAUUACGCGUUGUGCGGCUGGACGCGUGCGCAGCGCGGCACGGCGGGCUGCGCGCGGUGCGGGACUGGCGCGCCACGCUGUCCGGCGGCGAGAAGCAGCGCGUCGCGUGCGCGAGGAUGUUCUUCCACCGGCCGGUGUACGCGUUGCUGGACGAGUGCACGAGUGCGGUGUCGAUGGAGACGGAGGUGGUGAUGUACGAGGAGGCGAUCAAGGAAGGCAUCACGCUGCUGUCCAUCACCCACCGACCCAGCGUCUGGAAAUACCACACGCACGUGUUGGAGUUCGACGGCGCGGGCAACUGGUCGUUCCGCCCCCUGGACAAGGACGCCUCCCCCGUCACGGCCGCGCCCGCCGCAAGCUCCGCCCCCGCGCUGCCGGCCCCGCCCCCCGCACCCAACACAGACCAGUGACUGACUAGUGAUGUGACAUGUGAUACGUAGCAUAGUGGCUAGUGACUGGCUAGAUAGUGGCGAGGUGUGGCUAGCUAGUGGCUAGAUAUCAGCUAGUUAGUGGCUGGCUUAGUUGUAUAAGAAAGCAGGUGGCUAGUAGCUUUGUAUAAGCUAGCAGGUAACUUAGCUGCGAACUGCUAGUUAACGCUAGCUGGUGAGUAGCAUUUUGGCUAAUUGAGUAGUUACCGAUGAUGGUGAAGUGGCUAACUUUUGGAAGUUAGUGGCUAACUGGCAUAACGAUAGGCUAGUGCCAAUACCGAAAUUAUUGAUGUUUUAGCAUACAAUAUUAUACGAAAUCCUUGUAAAAUCUUUGCGAAAUUAUUUUAUUGUGGUAUUUCUUUAAUUAGCUACUAUAAGGUAUUAAAAAGUUUUUAUUUAGUAAAUCUAAGUUCAUAAGUACUAUUGCUCCAUUCACUACAUUAUAUUCAAAAUAUCGGCACAGUUAAUGUAACAUAUGCCUACAGUUAAUAAAAGUGAUCGUACUUAGUCUACCAAAGUGUACACAUAAUUUUCAGAAUGAAAAUAUUUGCCUUAUAUCUAGUAAAUAAACGAACAAAAGUGAGAUAUUUAUCAAGUAAGGCCUUAUUUGUUACUAUGUUUUAUUGAAAUCAAUGUUAAUCAGUCAUGUAAUUAUUAAAAAAAACGUACAAAAUUUUUGUAAAAAGAUUGUAAUUAGCAUGUAAAACAUUUACUUUGAAUCAUCACAAUUUUGUAAGAUUAUGCCAUAGACAUACUAUAAAAAAAUAAAGUUUUAAUAAUUACUAUGAAAGUCAUCUAUUAAAAUACUAAUGUUAUGAUCGAAUGCAAUAAUUGUCUUUAAGCUAUUUUGAGAUUAUUGUUCACAACUGUCCAUAAUAUAAUAUUAUUACUAUGACCAAUUUAAGCUACUACUAAAGAAUAGAAAAGAGAUUUUUAACACCCCUAGCUGUUAUCAGUAAAACUUUCUUCUGAUCUCUAUGAAUUAAGUCAAACUAAUAUAACAAGUUGCG